rnacentral:rRNA from 1 species
ACUGACAGCCAUGGUUACCGCGGCUGCUGGCACGGAGUUAGACGGUGCUUCUUCUGUGAGUGAUGUCCUUCCUGCCGGCUAUUAACCCGCAGGCCUUCUUCCUCACUGAAAGUGCUUUACAACCCGAAGGCCUUCUUCACACACGCGGCAUGGCUGGAUCAGGGUUGCCCCCAUUGUCCAAUAUUCCCCACUGCUGCCUCCCGUAGGAGUCUGGGCCGUGUCUCAGUCCCAGUGUGGCUGAUCAUCCUCUCAGACCAGCUACGGAUCGUCGCCUUGGUGAGCCGUUACCUCACCAACCAGCUAAUCCGACAUAGGCUCAUCCGAUAGCGCGAGGCCCGAAGGUCCCCCGCUUUACCCCGUAGGGCGUAUGCGGUAUUAGCCUGGGUUUCCCCAGGUUAUCCCCCACUACCGGGCAGAUUCCUAUGCAUUACUCACCCGUCCGCCGCUCGCCACCAGGGAGCAAGCUCCCCGUGCUGCCGCUCGACUUGCAUGUGUUAGGCCUGCCGCCAGCGUUCAAU